UACGUAGGGGGCAAGCGUUAUCCGGAUUUACUGGGUGUAAAGGGAGCGUAGACGGCAUAGCAAGUCUGAAGUGAAAGCCCACAGCUCAACUGUGGGACUGCUUUGGAAACUGUUAAGCUGGAGUGCAGGAGAGGUAAGUGGAAUUCCUAGUGUAGCGGUGAAAUGCGUAGAUAUUAGGAGGAACACCAGUGGCGAAGGCGGCUUACUGGACUGUAACUGACGUUGAGGCUCGAAAGCGUGGGGAGCAAACAGG
rnacentral:rRNA from 1 species